GUUAUUUUGGCAGAAUAGUGCAAUAGAUUUAGAAUCUUUAAAUGUAGAUUAUACAAAUAACA
rnacentral:tRNA from 1 species